rnacentral:rRNA from 1 species
CCUACGGGUGGCUGCAGUGAGGAAUAUUGGUCAAUGGGCUCGAGCCUGAACCAGCCAAGUAGCGUGAAGGAUGACUGCCCUACGGGUUGUAAACUUCUUUUAUAAAGGAAUAAAGUGAGGCACGUGUACCUUUUUGUAUGUACUUUAUGAAUAAGGAUCGGCUAACUCCGGUCCAUCAGCCGCGGUAAUACGGAGGAUCCGAGCGUUAUCCGGGUUUAUUGGGGUUAAAGGGAGCGUAGAUGGGUUGUUAAGUCAGGUGUGAAAGUUUGCGGCUUAAACGUAAAAUUGCAAUUGAUACUGGCAGUCUUGAGUACAGUAGAGGUAGGCGGAAUUCGUGGUGUAGCGGUGAAAUGCUUAGAUAUCACGAAGAACUCCGAUUGCGAAGGCAGCUUACUAAACUGCCACUGACAUUGAUGCUCGAAAGUGUGGGUAUCAAACAGGAUUAGAUACCCGUGUAGUC